GUCCGUGGCCAUACCACCCUGAACGAGCCUGAUCUUGUCUGAUCUCGGAAGCUAAGCAGGGUCGGGCCUGGUUCUUACUUGAAUGGGAGAUUGGAUUAGUUUAGGUAUUUAUCAAUA
rnacentral:rRNA from 1 species